UUUUUAUUUUCCUUUUUGUAAUAAAUGGUUCUUUUGGGUACAAAAACUAGUAAAAACCACGUUUGUGUUAUCAAUGUCAUGACUAAGGAUUUUUACAACAAUCUAAAAUUGGACGUUAAUACCACUACACUGCAUUCUCAAUUACCAACCACAACUAUACUGGGACAAUCUCCGGUUCAACAGGCGAUGAUGAUCCAUCAUCUUGUGCGGUUUUUGACUCAGCGCUAUCUUUGUUCUCUUCUUCGAAUCCUUGCUUGAACCUGUCAUAGUUUGUGGCCUCAACACUCGUGAAUGGGCGUUCACCCAAUACCUGGAUCAGAUCUUCUUGGUGGAGGACUUCCUUUUCAAGCAGCAUUUCUGCAAUCUGAGCCACAUGUUCUCUGUGUUCCUCCACGAGUUGUACAGUACGGUCAUAUGCCUUGGCUACCCAUUCUCUAACUUCAGUGUCGAUAAUUGCUGCUGUCUUGCUACCAUAAGGCUUUGCGUCAAAUGAAUCUUCUCUUUGUGGAAACGAAAGGAGACCAACCUUGUCACUGAAACCAUAUACUGCUACCUGGGCAUAAGUCAUCUUGGUGACUUUCUCUAAAUCAUUUUGAGCUCCAGUCGAGAUCUUCCCAAUCAAUACCUGCUCAGCAGCUCGGCCACCGAGAGUCAUGCAUGUCAUAUCAAACAGUUGUUCUUUAGUCAUUAGAAGGUUCUCACUAGGAACAUACUGAGCAAAUCCAAGGGCUGCUGUACCACGGGGAACAAUUGUCACUUUAAGUAAUGGCUCUGCAUGUUCCAA
rnacentral:misc_RNA from 1 species